ACGGGUGAGUAACGCGUGGGAAUCUACCCAUCUCUACGGAAUAACGCAUGGAAACGUGUGCUAAUACCGUAUACGUCCUUCGGGAGAAAGAUUUAUCGGAGAUGGAUGAGCCCGCGUUGGAUUAGCUAGUUGGUGGGGUAAAGGCCUACCAAGGCGACGAUCCAUAGCUGGUCUGAGAGGAUGAUCAGCCACACUGGGACUGAGACACGGCCCAGACUCCUACGGGAGGCAGCAGUGGGGAAUAUUGGACAAUGGGCGCAAGCCUGAUCCAGCCAUGCCGCGUGAGUGAUGAAGGCCCUAGGGUUGUAAAGCUCUUUCACCGGUGAAGAUAAUGACGGUAACCGGAGAAGAAGCCCCGGCUAACUUCGUGCCAGCAGCCGCGGUAAUACGAAGGGGGCUAGCGUUGUUCGGAUUUACUGGGCGUAAAGCGCACGUAGGCGGACUAUUAAGUCAGGGGUGAAAUCCCGGGGCUCAACCCCGGAACUGCCUUUGAUACUGGUAGUCUUGAGUUCGAGAGAGGUGAGUGGAAUUCCGAGUGUAGAGGUGAAAUUCGUAGA
rnacentral:rRNA from 7 species